UUAAGCGACUAAGCGUACACGGUGGAUGCCCUGGCAGUCAGAGGCGAUGAAGGACGUGCUAAUCUGCGAAAAGCGUCGGUAAGGUGAUAUGAACCGUUACAGCCGGCGAUGUCCGAAUGGGGAAACCCAGUGCAAUUCGUUGCACUAUCGUUAACUGAAUACAUAGGUUAACGAGGCGAACCGGGGGAACUGAAACAUCUAAGUACCCCGAGGAAAAAAAAUCAACCGAGAUUCCCCCAGUAGCGGCGAGCGAACGGGGAGCAGCCCAGAGUCUGAAUCAGCUUGUGUGUUAGUGGAACGGUCUGGAAAGUCCGACGGUACAGGGUGAUAGUCCCGUACACCAAAAUGCACAGGCUGUGAACUCGAAGAGUAGGGCGGGACACGUGGUAUCCUGUCUGAAUAUGGGGGGACCAUCCUCCAAGGCUAAAUACUCCUGACUGACCGAUAGUGAACCAGUACCGUGAGGGAAAGGCGAAAAGAACCCCGGCGAGGGGAGUGAAAAAGAACCUGAAACCGUGUACGUACAAGCAGUGGGAGCACCUUCGGGUGUGACUGCGUACCUUUUGUAUAAUGGGUCAGCGACUUAUAUUCUGUAGCAAGGUUAACCGUAUAGGGGAGCCGCAGGGAAACCGAGUCUUAACUGGGCGUUAAGUUGCAGGGUAUAGACCCGAAACCCGGUGAUCUAGCCAUGGGCAGGUUGAAGGUUGGGUAACACUAACUGGAGGACCGAACCGACUAAUGUUGAAAAAUUAGCGGAUGACUUGUGGCUGGGGGUGAAAGGCCAAUCAAACCGGGAGAUAGCUGGUUCUCCCCGAAAGCUAUUUAGGUAGCGCCUCGUGAAUUCAUCUUCGGGGGUAGAGCACUGUUUCGGCUAGGGGGUCAUCCCGACUUACCAACCCGAUGCAAACUACGAAUACCGAAGAAUGUUAUCACGGGAGACACACGGCGGGUGCUAACGUCCGUCGUGAAGAGGGAAACAACCCAGACCGCCAGCUAAGGUCCCAAAGUCAUGGUUAAGUGGGAAACGAUGUGGGAAGGCACAGACAGCCAGGAUGUUGGCUUAGAAGCAGCCAUCAUUUAAAGAAAGCGUAAUAGCUCACUGGUCGAGUCGGCCUGCGCGGAAGAUGUAACGGGGCUAAACCAUGCACCGAAGCUGCGGCAGCGACGCUUAUGCGUUGUUGGGUAGGGGAGCGUUCUGUAAGCCUGCGAAGGUGGCCUGUGAGGGCUGCUGGAGGUAUCAGAAGUGCGAAUGCUGACAUAAGUAACGAUAAAGCGGGUGAAAAGCCCGCUCGCCGGAAGACCAAGGGUUCCUGUCCAACGUUAAUCGGGGCAGGGUGAGUCGACCCCUAAGGCGAGGCCGAAAGGCGUAGUCGAUGGGAAACAGGUUAAUAUUCCUGUACUUGGUGUUACUGCGAAGGGGGGACGGAGAAGGCUAUGUUAGCCGGGCGACGGUUGUCCCGGUUUAAGCAUGUAGGCUGGUUAUCCAGGCAAAUCCGGAUAAUCAAGGCUGAGGUGUGAUGACGAGGCACUACGGUGCUGAAGUAACAAAUGCCCUGCUUCCAGGAAAAGCCUCUAAGCAUCAGGUAACAUCAAAUCGUACCCCAAACCGACACAGGUGGUCAGGUAGAGAAUACCAAGGCGCUUGAGAGAACUCGGGUGAAGGAACUAGGCAAAAUGGUGCCGUAACUUCGGGAGAAGGCACGCUGGUGUGUAGGUGAAGUCCCUGCGGAUGGAGCUGAGACCAGUCGAAGAUACCAGCUGGCUGCAACUGUUUAUUAAAAACACAGCACUGUGCAAACACGAAAGUGGACGUAUACGGUGUGACGCCUGCCCGGUGCCGGAAGGUUAAUUGAUGGGGUUAUCCGUAAGGAGAAGCUCUUGAUCGAAGCCCCGGUAAACGGCGGCCGUAACUAUAACGGUCCUAAGGUAGCGAAAUUCCUUGUCGGGUAAGUUCCGACCUGCACGAAUGGCGUAAUGAUGGCCAGGCUGUCUCCACCCGAGACUCAGUGAAAUUGAACUCGCUGUGAAGAUGCAGUGUACCCGCGGCAAGACGGAAAGACCCCGUGAACCUUUACUAUAGCUUGACACUGAACAUUGAGCCUUGAUGUGUAGGAUAGGUGGGAGGCUUUGAAGCGUGGACGCCAGUCUGCGUGGAGCCAACCUUGAAAUACCACCCUUUAAUGUUUGAUGUUCUAACGUUGGCCCCUGACCGGGGUUGCGGACAGUGUCUGGUGGGUAGUUUGACUGGGGCGGUCUCCUCCCAAAGAGUAACGGAGGAGCACGAAGGUUAGCUAAUCCUGGUCGGACAUCAGGAGGUUAGUGCAAUGGCAUAAGCUAGCUUGACUGCGAGCGUGACGGCGCGAGCAGGUGCGAAAGCAGGUCAUAGUGAUCCGGUGGUUCUGAAUGGAAGGGCCAUCGCUCAACGGAUAAAAGGUACUCCGGGGAUAACAGGCUGAUACCGCCCAAGAGUUCAUAUCGACGGCGGUGUUUGGCACCUCGAUGUCGGCUCAUCACAUCCUGGGGCUGAAGUAGGUCCCAAGGGUAUGGCUGUUCGCCAUUUAAAGUGGUACGCGAGCUGGGUUUAGAACGUCGUGAGACAGUUCGGUCCCUAUCUGCCGUGGGCGCUGGAGAAUUGAGGGGGGCUGCUCCUAGUACGAGAGGACCGGAGUGGACGCAUCACUGGUGUUCGGGUUGUCAUGCCAAUGGCAUUGCCCGGUAGCUAAAUGCGGAAGAGAUAAGUGCUGAAAGCAUCUAAGCACGAAACUUGCCCCGAGAUGAGUUCUCCCUGAGACUUUAAGUCUCCUGAAGGAACGUUGAAGACGACGACGUUGAUAGGCCGGGUGUGUAAGCGCAGCGAUGCGUUGAGCUAACCGGUACUAAUGAACCGUGAGGCUUAACCUU
rnacentral:rRNA from 1 species